AGGAGCAGGGGCCUAUGACAAAAGCCACAGAAGCCAGGGCCGGGUUACGGAAUUAAGAGGAAUCCCUGGAGGCAGCAGGGAGGUGGAGAGACAUGGGUCAGCCCAGAGUUUCACAGUGAGAGGGACCAGGAGGAGAGUUAAGCCAGAUGACCAGCUCAGCUGCAGCCACAGGCACAGCCUCAGGCUCUUGGCUAGGCACCACUGCAGCUGGCUUUUGGGGAAUCACGGCGGAAGGCACUGGCACAUCCGUGAGGCAAGGCCUCAUAGUGUCUGACAAUAGCUUCCAGCACUUCUGGAAAUCUUGAAGAGUCUUACACUUUUAAUCCUCCAGUCAUUAACUGUGCUAUGAGGACAUUCUGGUGAGGUGGUGGGAGUAAAAAGCAACUGUUUUCCUCACCCUUUAUAACCCAGUUAAGAAUUUGACUGACAGAAUGUUGGCACCAGCUGUGGCAGAACUGAUCAGCCUCAACUCCAAAUCUCUGUCCUGAGACAAAACAACAGGAUGUGCCUUGGAGAAGAAUCUCAGGAUAGAGUUGCUUUGAUUGUGUUCCAAACCUGCAAGCUCAGGGAGUUGGAAUUCACAAAGUUGAGGUGAGAAAUUCAGUGGACAGCAGAAAAAUCUACAAAGGUUCAAAG